rnacentral:rRNA from 1 species
ACGCUGGCGGCGUGCUUAACACAUGCAAGUCGAGCGGAAAGGCCCUUCGGGGUACUCGAGCGGCGAACGGGUGAGUAACACGUGAGUAAUCUGCCCUUGGCUUUGGGAUAACUACCGGAAACGGUGGCUAAUACCGGAUACGACGCACUCAGGCAUCUGAUGUGUGUGGAAAGUUUUUUCGGCCAGGGAUGUGCUCGCGGCCUAUCAGCUUGUUGGUGGGGUAAUGGCCUACCAAGGCUUCGACGGUAGCCGGCCUGAGAGGGUGACCGGCCACACUGGGACUGAGACACGGCCCAGACUCCUACGGGAGGCAGCAGUGGGGAAUAUUGGACAAUGGGCGGAAGCCUGAUCCAGCAACGCCGCGUGAGGGAUGACGGCCUUCGGGUUGUAAACCUCUUUCAGUACCGACGAAGCGCCGAUGAUGGUGGUGACGGUAGGUACAGAAGAAGCACCGGCCAACUACGUG